rnacentral:rRNA from 2 species
UAGCGGUGAAAUGCGUAGAGAUGUGGAGGAACACCAGGUGGCGAAGGCGGCUUUUUGGUCUGUAACUGACGCUGAGGCGCGAAAGCGUGGGGAGCAAACAGGAUUAGAUACCCUGGUAGUCCACGCCGUAAACGAUGACUGCUUAGAGGUAGAGGCUUUCCGCCCUUUAUUGCUGAACCUAACGCAUUAAUCACUCCGCCUGGGGAGUACGGUCGCAAGACUGAAACUCAAUGGAAUUGACGGGGGCCCGCACAACCGGGGAAGCAUGUGGUUUAAUUCAAACCACCCCAAAAAACCUUACCGGGUCUUGACAUCCUCUGACUACUCUAAAAAUAAAUCGUUCCCCUUCGAACU